UGCAGUGAAUCAGUGGUGUCCUAGUCAUAAAUUUCAGAAAGCUCUCUGGCAAUGCCUAAUAAAUUAUAUCUACCCUACGCCUAAUAAUCUAUGUCAUCCAGCCAAAUACAUCACACAUAUAAAUGAGUUCGGAUCUUAUUACCUUUCCAAAUGAGAGAACAAGCUAAUAAAGAGUCACAAUUCAGAAAAGUAACUUCUCCUUCUUAACCUGAAACUGAAAAAUCAAACAUGUGGUACAUAUCAUUUACCUUUAAGAAAUCAAGCAUGAGUGAAUUAUACAUGCAUUGAAAAUAAUUGAAAAUAAAUCUUUUUUUUCAAUUAUAUAUGCAAUAACAGGUGACUUAAGUGAGAUUAUAAUAUAUAAAAUGAUUCCAAAACUGAGGCACCUGACAUGAAACAACUCUCAGCAAAACUUUUUUUUCUUCUUUUCCAAUCGUGGUUGGUGGAAACAUAUACUUUAGUAAAGUUCUAUGACCAGUAGUAAAUGUCAAACUUUGCUAUAUGAUGACAGCUCCGAUAUCUUUUCUCCAGACUAAACUUAUAGAUUAUAAAAACGGGGUUAUAUAUGCAUAAGUUUUAGGUAUAUCUUACAAUAGCUACUCAAUAAAUCCUGCUGAUAAUAUUUUGUAAUUGAUUAGCAGUAUAAAAGUUUUUACUGUAGCAGCACAGUGUACAAGAUGCAUAGCAGUUAUAUAUUUACUUCUUCUUUUUUAUUGAAAGAAACUAUGGGUAUAAUCAUCCAACACUAGUAAUAUCUCANCCUAUGUACAACCAAGCAUAAAUGCAAAAAAAUAAAAAGUUUAUAUAUGCUACAAUAAUUUAACUAGCUAUUUGUAACUAUAUCUAUAUGUCAAUUCCAUAUUGGUAUACAAACUUAAUAAACCUCUUAGCUUAUUCUUGAUUUAAAAUCACAUACACUAAAAAAAGUCACCGAAUAAGCCUCUUAGCUUUCCCUCUUUCCUAAUCCCAACCAUUGCACUAUUUAACAUUGUUUAUCUGUUUGUAAUGAUUUUACAGUAAUUCAUGACUGAUGACAAUCUUUAUUAAAAUUCCAGUACUCUACCAACCUUCUUCCUUUUGAGCCCUUUGGCCUUUGUUUGAAGUUGCCUUUUAGAUCAGCUGUCUUUAAGUGAAGAAUGAUUGGCCAUAGGCAAAAAUUACAUACCAUUGACUUAUAUUUACUUAUACUUUAACAUUGUAAGUAUGUCAUACUGAAUAUACGAUGGACAAAAUAUGUUCAGCACUAAAUAUAUCUGAGAUGAACCACAAGGANCUUCUANAAAACUAAGAGGGGACAGAAAAAGUGCAGAAACCAGAAACCUGCGGCAGCAAAACCAGAAAUUCUAUUCCACUAAUUGGAGUAUUAUGUUGCCACAUGGACUCACUGAAAGGCACAAUGGAUUAUUGCUUGCUUCGGUUAAGUAAAUAGUAGUCAGCCACAUCUUGCUGCUUGCCGCGAGGUGAUGGUUAAUUUUCUUUUAUUUUCUAACUAAACUCAGUGUCUUCUGAUCAUGUUGGAAAGGUAUAAGUCUCAUGAGGAUUGGUCAAUAUAGUAAUUAAUAUAGCUAAGAUGGAUGAUUCAUUUUCUCUCUUUUUUCAAAAAGCAAAAUAAUCAGGUUUCUUUCUGAAACUUCACUAACACGUAUCUUUUUAUCUUUCUCCACGCCUACAUAUAUCUUAAUAACGUAAAAAAUUCUCUUUCCUUCUCAAUCUCUUCGUAUCCUUCCUAUAUUUUUUUUAAACUGUCAUUAACCAUUACAUAUAAGGAGGAAUUGCAAAACCUUAUCAAAAUUCCCUUUCUGUGAAAAUAAUGGUUUCAAGUUUUGAAAAAAUAUGAAGUAAAAAGUGCGAAACAGGAAUUCCAUGGUGGCUAAAACAGGAAUAAUUUCUCUACCUUGAAUUCGAUGGUGGCUUAUACUAGGCAUAAUUUCUCGCUUUAAAACAGGAAUCUUCUUUUUCUUUAAGAAAAUGACUUCAUGUUCCCUUUAUCUUUUUCUCUUUUCCUCGAAAAAAGAGUUACACACAAGACACAGGCUCAAUUAGUGAAUCCAAGAUGAAACACACUAAACAACAGAAGAGAUUGAAAACUCACAAGUUCUACAGCAACAGAGACAACAAAUUCUCCAAAAUGACCAGCAACAAGCACCAAAACCGCAAGAUCCUCAACCGGAGUCAGAGUCACGUCCACAACCAACUAUAGAACAACAGGAACAAUCACUACAACAAGCCAACUAUAACAAGAGGAAGACCAUGGAACAGGGGCUUUCACCUGAGACUGACAGAACAGUAACAAAAGGAAGACCACGCAACCACCGCUGCAGCUCCGUCUACCAAUGGUUCCGCGACUACGAUUCUGAAGGAUAGUCAGUACGAGGAAGAGACGGUGAGUUUAGGGUUCAGGAAGAAAGCGAGAAAGAAAUAAGGGUGUAGUGUGCGAGGAAGAAAGCGAGAAAGGAAUGAAAGGGAUUUUAGGGUUCAAGUGUGAUUUUGAGAAGGAGAUCAGUUUCGGGAUCCAGAAAAAUGAGACAGAAACGUAAAAAAUUAGACAUUCUUUGAAGAAUCAUUAAAACUCCUUUGAAAUAGAGGGGGUUAUAAACCUCCUUUAAAAAUCAUUAAAACUCCCGUUAUCAUUAAC
rnacentral:lncRNA from 1 species